GAAGAUAUAGCUCAGUGGUGGAGCGCGUGCUUAGCAUGCACGAGGUCCUAGGUUCAGUCCCCAGUACCUCCA
rnacentral:tRNA from 1 species